rnacentral:rRNA from 1 species
AUUGAACGCUGGCGGCAGGCCUAACACAUGCAAGUCGAGCGGUAGCACAGAGAGCUUGCUCUCGGGUGACGAGCGGCGGACGGGUGAGUAAUGUCUGGGAAACUGCCUGAUGGAGGGGGAUAACUACUGGAAACGGUAGCUAAUACCGCAUAACGUCGCAAGACCAAAGUGGGGGACCUUCGGGCCUCAUGCCAUCAGAUGUGCCCAGAUGGGAUUAGCUAGUAGGUGGGGUAAUGGCUCACCUAGGCGACGAUCCCUAGCUGGUCUGAGAGGAUGACCAGCCACACUGGAACUGAGACACGGUCCAGACUCCUACGGGAGGCAGCAGUGGGGAAUAUUGCACAAUGGGCGCAAGCCUGAUGCAGCCAUGCCGCGUGUGUGAAGAAGGCCUUCGGGUUGUAAAGCACUUUCAGCGGGGAGGAAGGCGGUGAGGUUAAUAACCUCAUCGAUUGACGUUACCCGCAGAAGAAGCACCGGCUAACUCCGUGCCAGCAGCCGCGGUAAUACGGAGGGUGCAAGCGUUAAUCGGAAUUACUGGGCGUAAGGCGCACGCAGGCGGUCUGUCAAGUCGGAUGUGAAAUCCCCGGGCUCAACCUGGGAACUGCAUUCGAAACUGGCAGGCUAGAGUCUUGUAGAGGGGGGUAGAAUUCCAGGUGUAGCGGUGAAAUGCGUAGAGAUCUGGAGGAAUACCGGUGGCGAAGGCGGCCCCCUGGACAAAGACUGACGCUCAGGUGCGAAAGCGUGGGGAGCAAACAGGAUUAGAUACCCUGGUAGUCCACGCCGUAAACGAUGUCGAUUUGGAGGUUGUGCCCUUGAGGCGUGGCUUCCGGAGCUAACGCGUUAAAUCGACCGCCUGGGGAGUACGGCCGCAAGGUUAAAACUCAAAUGAAUUGACGGGGGCCCGCACAAGCGGUGGAGCAUGUGGUUUAAUUCGAUGCAACGCGAAGAACCUUACCUGGUCUUGACAUCCACAGAGCUUUCCAGAGAUGGAUUGGUGCCUUCGGGAACUGUGAGACAGGUGCUGCAUGGCUGUCGUCAGCUCGUGUUGUGAAAUGUUGGGUUAAGUCCCGCAACGAGCGCAACCCUUAUCCUUUGUUGCCAGCGGUCCGGCCGGGAACUCAAAGGAGACUGCCAGUGAUAAACUGGAGGAAGGUGGGGAUGACGUCAAGUCAUCAUGGCCCUUACGACCAGGGCUACACACGUGCUACAAUGGCAUAUACAAAGAGAAGCGACCUCGCGAGAGCAAGCGGACCUCAUAAAGUAUGUCGUAGUCCGGAUUGGAGUCUGCAACUCGACUCCAUGAAGUCGGAAUCGCUAGUAAUCGUAGAUCAGAAUGCUACGGUGAAUACGUUCCCGGGCCU